rnacentral:rRNA from 1 species
AACGAACGCUGGCGGCAUGCCUAACACAUGCAAGUCGAACGAGACCUUCGGGUCUAGUGGCGCACGGGUGCGUAACGCGUGGGAACCUGCCCUUAGGUUCGGAAUAACUCCCCGAAAGGGGUGCUAAUACCGGAUAAUGUCUUCGGACCAAAGAUUUAUCGCCUUUGGAUGGGCCCGCGUUGGAUUAGCUAGUUGGUAGGGUAAAAGCCUACCAAGGCGACGAUCCAUAGCUGGUCUGAGAGGAUGAUCAGCCACACUGGGACUGAGACACGGCCCAGACCCCCUGGGGGGGGAAGAGGGGGGAAAUAUGGACAAGGGGGCGAAGGCCGAACCCACCAUUGCCGGGGGAGUGAUGAGGGCUUUGGGGUUGAAAACCUUUUUUCCCGGGAAGGAUAAUGACGGUACGGGGAAAAUAACCCCGGCCUAACUCCUU